AUACAAAUAGAGAAUGAACAAAUGCUGACCUAGGCUUGUGACCUCCAUUGCACUUUGGAGGGGUGCUAGCUUAAGGUCGGCCCAAAUGGUCGAGCCUACGUCAUAAUUUAUAGGAAUUUUUUCCUAA
rnacentral:snRNA from 14 species